UAGUAGCGUCCAUACUGCAUGCAACUAUCUAAUGACUAUUUCAGCAUUCCAAAUCAAUCAGACCUUGUCUUGCACAAAGUGCAACCAA